UACGUAGGGGGCUAGCGUUAUCCGGAAUUACUGGGCGUAAAGGGUGCGUAGGUGGUUUCUUAAGUCAGAUGUGAAAGCCUUCGGCUUAACCGGAGUAGUGCAUUGGAAACUGGGAGACUUGAGUGCAGAAGAGGAGAGUGGAACUCCAUGUGUAGCGGUGAAAUGCGUAGAUAUAUGGAAGAACACCAGUGGCGAAAGCGGCUCUCUGGUCUGUAACUGACGCUGAGGUUCGAAAGCGUGGGUAGCAAACAGG
rnacentral:rRNA from 1 species